rnacentral:lncRNA from 1 species
CUCUCCUUCAUCUCUCACCUCUUCAGAGACCAACCUUCUCCACCACCUCACACCACCAUGCUCCGCCCACCGAAAAUCGCCUCAUGGCGAUUCCAGUGCUCCAAUCUCUUCCAGACUUACACCCCUGACUCCUAUCCACCUCCUUAUUCCAAACCUCCAUACCAUUUUCUUCGAAUCUUAGCCGAAUCCUUCGAAUUUCAAAUCGAAAUCGGACCCCAAACCCUAGUUUACCCAACAUACCCCAAAUUAACACCUUAGGACCCUCUCUUUUUCCUCUUCGAAUCUGGAUUUAAAGAAACGAACCCUAAAAUCCCAAACUCCAAAACGUUAGGUGUAUGAAGGUUUGAGGUCAAAAUCGACCUUAGUUGUGUGUUCUCAGUCGAGAACACUCGAUUAAGAUCUAUUCCGGCCACAAAUUCGAAAAAAAAUUAAAGGUCUUAUUCGAGACAUGGUUCAAUCAUUUGGAGGUAGGUCUCCAAAUAUUACUUUUUUUUUCUAAUUCCUUUUAUUAUUAUCUUCCUGUACUCCUUUAUUUUUAUUUUAGAAUGAUUAUUUGGUCGGAUUUGAUUUGUGAUGGAUUUUUUAUAGUUUCUGUUUCGAACUAAAAGAUUGUUCGUUGAUUUGGUUUGGUUUAUUCAUGAGCUUCUUUAGCUAUUAUUCAUGUCAUCUGAAUUCUUGAUUUCGUCUGUUAAUUAUGGUAAUAUCUGAGUCCUUCAUAUUCUAGGCUUAAUUAGUUUAAUUAGGAUUAUUCUAAUAGUUUGGAUAAUUUCUCGUUUAAUUGUGUAUAAUAAUCGAUUGAUUAGUAUAAGUUUAAUUCAAGUGGUCACCUAAUUGAGAAGCUUCUGUAAUGGUAGGGUUAGAGUUACAUUAACUAGGUUAAGUGGACAACUAAGAAAUGAAAAGAUGAAUAGGUAAUGGAGAAGACACUAAGUUGAAUUCCUAUUUAAAGGGGCUGAAAAUUAGAAGAUAGGACAGAGAUACAUAUAAGAAGAUUCUGAAAAAUAUUGGCAAAAAGAAUACUGAAGAGAUUUUGAGAGAGUUAAAAAAUUCCAAGAAAAUACAAUGGUAGAAUACAUAGACAGAAACUUAAACUAUCAAUGAAAGUUCAUUUGAAUACCUCAACUAAGAUAUUUUCCUCCGAAAUACUUUUACUAUAUUUUUACUGUACCAGUUUAACACGUCCGACCAGUUUAAUACGUUCGACCUUUAGGAAAAAUGUGGUUAAUGAUUACAUCCACCUUUAUGUUGUUGGUGAAAAUAACCAUAUUGAUAAAAUAACCAUAUUGUCUUAAUUAUCUUAGUACAACAUAAUGGUCGGGCGUGUUAAACUGGUACAUUAAACGUAUAAUAAAAGUAUUUCGGUGAAUAAUCUCUUAGUUAAGGUGUUCAAGUGAACUUUCGUUGAUAGUUUAAGUGUCUGUCUAUGUAUUCUGCCAAAUACAAUAUACUGCAAAAUUUUACUGUUCCAUUGCAUCUUUGUUUUGAGUUUUGAAAGUUUUCAUUUCCAGCAUUUUCUGAUUUUCUUUGGUACUGAGGAAGAUUUGAAUUUGGUUUCUGAAAGUGCUGGUCCAAAGUUUUCUAAAUCUUUACUGUUACAUUGAUUCAUUCGGGGUUAAUCACUAUUUUCUGGGUUAAAAAUCUGGCUUGUUCUUGCUAUCUAAUUACUGCUAAAUAUGACCCUUUUCUACUCUCAUUUCCAGGUAUUUUUCCUUGAACUGUCGUUAACUAAUGCCUUGUUAAAGGUCCAAUUUCACAAGUUUGAAUUCAAGUGGAUGUAUUAUCACAAGCUGCAAUGUGAUGGAUUAUGUUACUAUAGUUCUUUGGUUUGCCAUAUUUUAUAGUAGCUUAGUUUCUUUGUAUUGGUUUAAUUGCUCAAUCUAUAUGAUUCAAAUUUAUUGAUCAUGUAGAGUAGAUGUUUAGAUUCAGGGUCCUGUAAUGGUAAACGAAAAUUUGUGUGUAAAUGGACUGUUAAAUAUGUUAUAAGGAUUGACUACUUGAAUAUUUUAGUUGUUUUUUUUUUUGUUUGAAAUUAGGAUUUGAUAUGAAGAAGUUUUAGUACUGAUAUUGGGUGCAAUAUAUUUGGAAUAGGGAUUUUGGAACCGUGAGAUUUAAUUGAUUCA